rnacentral:rRNA from 2 species
CAAAUUUGAAAUCUGGCGCCUUCGGUGUCCGAGUUGUAAUUUGAAGAAGGUAACUUUGGUUUUGGCUCUUGUCUAUGUUCCUUGGAACAGGACGUCACAGAGGGUGAGAAUCCCGUGCGAUGAGAUGCCCAAUUCCAUGUAAAGUGCUUUCGAAGAGUCGAGUUGUUUGGGAAUGCAGCUCUAAGUGGGUGGUAAAUUCCAUCUAAAGCUAAAUAUUGGCGAGAGACCGAUAGCGAACAAGUACAGUGAUGGAAAGAUGAAAAGAACUUUGAAAAGAGAGUGAAAAAGUACGUGAAAUUGUUGAAAGGGAAGGGUUUGAGAUCAGACUUGGUAUUUUGUAUGUUUUACUCUCGGGUGAGGCCUCUGCAGUUUACUGGGCCAGCAUCAGUUUGGAUGGUAGGAUAAUGACAUUGGAAUGUGGCUCUUCGGAGUGUUAUAGCCCUUGUUGAUACUGCCUAUCUAGACUGAGGACUGCGUCUUUGACUAGGAUGCUGGCAUAAUGAU